AUAGUCCUCGAAUGCUGGAAUGCAUCGAGGACGAAAGCUCCGGUGCCUAAGGAUGGGUCUGCGGCCUAUCAGGUAGUAGUGGGUGUAGCGUACCUACUAGCUACGACGGGUACGGGUUGUGAGAGCAAGAGCCCGGAGAUGGAUUCUGAGACACGAAUCCAGGCCCUACGGGGUGCAGCAGGCGCGAAAACUUUACAAUGCUGGCAACAGCGAUAAGGGAACCUCGAGUGCCAGGUUACAAAUCUGGCUGUCGAGAUGCCUAAAAAGCAUUUCAUAGCAAGGGCCGGGCAAGACCGGUGCCAGCCGCCGCGGUAACACCGGCGGCUCGAGUGGUAACCGUUAUUAUUGGGUCUAAAGGGUCUGUAGCCGGCCGGAUAAGUCUCUUGGGAAAUCUGGCAGCUCAACUGUCAGGCUAUCAGGAGAUACUGUCUGGCUCGAGGCCGGGAGAGGUGAGAGGUACUUCAGGGGUAGGGGUGAAAUCUUGUAAUCCUUGAAGGACCACCAGUGGCGAAGGCGUCUCACCAGAACGGACCUGACGGCAAGGGACGAAAGCUAGGGGCACGAACCGGAUUAGAUACCCGGGUAGUCCUAGCCGUAAACGAUACUCGCUAGGUGUCGGCCACGGUGCGACCGUGGUCGGUGCCGUAGGGAAGCCGUGAAGCGAGCCACCUGGGAAGUACGGCCGCAAGGCUGAAACUUAAAGGAAUUGGCGGGGGAGCACCACAACGGGUGGAGCUUGCGGUUUAACUUGGAGUCAACGCCGGACA
rnacentral:rRNA from 1 species